GUACACUCCUGCGGGAGGCAGCAGUGGGGAAUUUUGGACAAUGGGCGAAAGCCUGAUCCAGCAAUGCCGCGUGUGUGAAGAAGGCCUUCGGGUUGUAAAGCACUUUUGUCCGGAAAGAAAUCCUUGGCUCUAAUACAGUCGGGGGAUGACGGUACCGGAAGAAUAAGCACCGGCUAACUACGUGCCAGCAGCCGCGGUAAUACGUAGGGUGCGAGCGUUAAUCGGAAUUACUGGGCGUAAAGCGUGCGCAGGCGGUUUGCUAAGACCGAUGUGAAAUCCCCGGGCUCAACCUGGGAACUGCAUUGGUGACUGGCAGGCUAGAGUAUGGCAGAGGGGGGUAGAAUUCCACGUGUAGCAGUGAAAUGCGUAGAGAUGUGGAGGAAUAUCGAUGGCGAAGGCAGCCCCCUGGGCCAAUACUGACGCUCAUGCACGAAAGCGUGGGGAGCAAACAGGAUUAGAUACCCCAGUAGUCCCAUGA
rnacentral:rRNA from 1 species